UUUGCAAAUAACUUAUGUUCAAUUUAUAAAUUCUUAAGAAUUUUGGGCUUCUUGGGUAAUUAAAGUAUUUAAUUAAUAAUAAUUAACAAGGUUUUGAGUAGUCUCAGCUUUCUAGAAUGGCUAUAAUUCCCAGUGUGAAAAUGUGAUCAGUAAUUACAAUCCACAAGAUUGUCUAAAAUAUGAAAGUACAAACAAUAUUAAAGUCACUGGAAGCUCUCAAGGAAUGGCAUCAUCUGUCAUUUUCUAAAUAAAUGGGAUGAAAAUAAUUGUUACACGUGCCAAAUUGGAAGCUUCGGAAUUGGGGAAUAAUUGGUUUUACACAUCUGAGCCCUUAACAUACACACCUUACAAACUAUAACUUCCGAAAAAUCAGUUUGGAAGAUGAUGUAUCUGAAUCUUUAAGGUUGUAGAAUCUGGACAUGGAUAUUUAAUGUUUUUCUUCUUGGCACUGAGGAAUGAACCCAGUGCCUUCACAUAAAACUAAAUCCCGAGCUCCUCUUUUUUUUCCCCUUACUUUUUAUUUUUGAGAUAAGAUCUCACUAAAAUUGUUAAGUCACCCACACUGGGCUCCAACAUGUGAUCCCUCCUGUCUCAACUUCCUUGCCUCCAAGUUCUGGGCUUCAUCAGGUUUGUAAAUAAAAAUUUUAUUUACACACUAUAUGUUAGCAUACAAAAUUUUAAAUAUUUCAAUUUACUAGUAAUUUCUGCUGUUUAGUUUUUGUCUAAAUUCAUAUGCCUAUUAAAAAUUAUUGUAGUGUAUUGGUCAGCCACUUGACUAUUAUGUCAGAAUAGAAGCUGGUAGUAUUAAACUUGAAGCCAGAACUCUAAUUGAUUACUUUUCAUUUUGACAGUUACCAACACUGUAGAACAAACAGAGCAAGAAGAGGAUGAAGAAGUACUCAUAGAAAGCUCUAAAGGAACCAGUGUUUACUCCUGAUUUAGAGACUCUCCAUCACGGGUGCCCCAACCCUGCAGCGCCUUCACAAUGGACUCGUGGGCUUCCUCAUCACCAGUAAGUCUCUGAAGGCAGAAGAUCAAGACAGUCCUCCCAGGCUCCUGAAGUACAAAGUGACCAAGGGACCAGAGCAGGGCUUCAUUGUCAACACUGGCCUCGAAGAGGAGCGCACUCAUGUGUUUACACAAGCUGACAUUGAUGAAAUGCAGAUCUGCUAUGUCUUGAAGCAGGGCAGCAAUGCAACAAGGGAUGUCUUCUAUUUCUCUGUGGAAGACAGUGGUAAGUCAAGAGUAAAAUCCUAAAAAAGACUCGUGGUGAGUUAAAAUCAAUACAAAACUGAAAAAAAAAUCCCUUAAAAUAUACUCAUGUAACCUUGAAGAAGUUACUUCAUCCCCUUUGUUACUCAUUGCUCCAUUUAUGAAAAACUCAUCCUCAUACCUGAUUCAAAGGAGUCCCUAAGUGGAUUAUGUGAGAUAAUAUUGUUAAUGACAUGGAGUAGGUGCUCACUGACAGUUACAGUCUUCUGAUGAGGCUAACUAUGAACUCUGAGCCAUAAACAUCUACAAACUCUGAGCCAAAUAAACUUCUUCUCUUGUAAAUUGUGGUUGUUGGGUAUAAGUGUCUCAGCAAUGAGAAAGUAACUAAGACACUAGUCAAGGUCUAUUGUAAUACCAUAUCCAUUUUAGGAUUGUUUUAUACAUUUUUAUAAAGAGAUACAUCAGAAUUUUGAUAGAAAUUACACAGAGUCAUAGAUCACAUUAAGUAGCAUGAACAUUUGAACAAUAUUUUUCUUU
rnacentral:lncRNA from 1 species